CGAUACUUGGUGUGAAUUGCAGAAUCCCGUGAACCAUCGAGUCUUUGAACGCAAGUUGCGCCCGAAGCCAUUAGGCCAAGGGCACGCCUGCCUGGGUGUCACCAA
rnacentral:rRNA from 1 species